rnacentral:miRNA from 8 species
GGGUGGGGAUUUGUUGCACUGCU